UACGUAGGGGGCUAGCGUUGUCCGGAAUCAUUGGGCGUAAAGCGCGUGUAGGCGGCCCGGUAAGUCCGCUGUGAAAGUCGAGGGCUCAACCCUCGAAAGCCGGUGGAUACUGGCGGGCUCGAGUGCGGGAGAGGCGAGUGGAAUUCCUGGUGUAGCGGUGGAAUGCGUAGAUAUCAGGAGGAAUACCGGUGGCGAAAGCGACUCUCUGGACGGCAACUGACGCUGAGGCACGAAAGCGUGGGGAGCAAACAGG
rnacentral:rRNA from 1 species